AUCGCCUCCAUCACGUUCCUUCCCUGGCCGCCCCUCCCUGGAUCAACCCCUCGCGAUGCCGCCGCUCUCUCUCCCUCUUACCGCGAUGCGGCGCCGCCCCCAUCUGCCGCUCCGCCGCCGCCGCCACCUCCCUCCCCCUGGCUUCCCCUAUCUCCCCCCUUAGCCACCUCCACCCCCACCCUUCCUCUCCAUUGCCGGAUCCGGUUACAGAUCAUCAAGGUUAGGCGAGGGAGCUCCAUGUCCAUGGCGCACGCGUGCUCAUCAAGGAAGCGGCUCCCGGAUCUUGAUCGCGCGGCCGUGACGGAGGGGAUCGAGGUGGACGCCGCCGCCGCUGAAGACCAAGCCCCCACCUUGUCCAGAAUCACUUCCGCCGUCGUGUUCCACCAUGGAAGGAGGAGGCGGCUCAAAGUCUCCCUCGCUGCCGGCUCCAGAUGCAGCUGUCGCCAUGGGACAAAGAGGAGAUAAAAGGAGUAUUGGAAAGCUUAAAACCAGCCCCACAAAACCACUCUGCCUGGAGAAAGAAGACAAUAUUUGGCAUGAUCUGUUUCAUCUACUAUAGCUUCAUAAAAGUGUCUGAGUGUUGACGUUGGCUCGCCAAGCCUAUCAAGCCUGUCCAACAUUGUCUGAGAUAGUUUGGGCAUAUUCAACACAGGCCUCUUGAAGCUCUCAUGCGUAGCGGAUGGCUAAAGCGUGCUGAUACUGUCAAGAGAGGUCGGGGUAGACCGAACUUGACAUGAGAGGAGUCCGUAAAGAGAGAUAUGAAGGACUGGUGUACCCUCAAAGAACUAGCCCUGGACAGGGGUGCGUGGAAGCUUGCCAUCCAUGUGCCAGAACCAUGAGUUAGAUGCAUUAUCUUAUGGGUUUCACCUCCAGCCUACUCCAACUUGUUUGAGACUAAAGGCUUUGUUAUUAUUAUUGUUAUUGUUACAUUUCUGUCCUUUCUAGGAGGAUUUCAAUUGUUUUCCCAAUUUUCCUUCCACCAUUUUGUAACCCUCUGCAGAACCGUCUGGGGAGGUUCGCAACAUUGUCUACUCAUCUGAUGGGAAAUCGGUAUCUGUUAUCUAUCAUGUGGUUAUGGAACUGAUACAGAUGUACCCUUCUUUGCCCUGGGAGUUAAUUGUGGUUCAGUUUGCA